rnacentral:rRNA from 1 species
AGCGAACGCUGGCGGCAGGCCUAAUACAUGCAAGUCGAGCGCACCUUCGGGUGAGCGGCGGACGGGUGAGUAACGCGUGGGAACGUGCCCUUUGGUACGGGAUAACUGAGGGAAACUUCAGCUAAUACCGUAUGUGCCCUACGGGGGAAAGAUUUAUCGCCAUUGGAGCGGCCCGCGUUGGAUUAGGUAGUUGGUGAGGUAAAGGCUCACCAAGCCUACGAUCCAUAGCUGGUCUGAGAGGAUGAUCAGCCACACUGGGACUGAGACACGGCCCAGACUCCUACGGGAGGCAGCAGUAGGGAAUCUUGCGCAAUGGGCGAAAGCCUGACGCAGCCAUGCCGCGUGAAUGAUGAAGGUCUUAGGAUUGUAAAAUUCUUUCACCGGGGAAGAUAAUGACGGUACCCGGAGAAGAAGCCCCGGCUAACUUCGUGCCAGCCGCCGCCGCGGUAA